AGUCAUAAAAGUUCAAAGAUACUCCGAAAACUUGCAUCUUUCGAUUGAUGGACAAAUGUGUUAACCAAUAGAAACCAAAACUCAGGCAUUACUUCAUCAUGCUAAAUUAUCAUUGGCUGCCAGUUCCCGAGGGCCGGACCGCAGGGCUGGCGGUUAACCCUUUCAGGGACGAUUUGUGCCCUCGACAUUAAUUUUAUUUUGAAAGAUGAAGUAGGAACAGAUGAAAAGCCCAGAAAGGUCCUCAGACCUUCAAGUGUCGUCGCCUUUGGCUCUCACCCCAGCAGAUCUGGUGAGCUAGAGGACCUUGGACAAGGUGCCCAAACCGAGCCUCCGUUAUCCCAUCUAUAAAAUGGGGGCCAUGUCUACCGUCUGAGUUCUAUGAGGAUUCAAUGAACCAGUGUUCUACAACUGGGCGGCUGACUGCAUCCCGGGUCCACGUGAUCUGCUGGGCAGAAACCGAGAGAGUCAGCUGUCAUCGCCCGCAGCUGAGGCCUGAGAACGCGCACCCUGCGUGCUAGCCGCAGGGUCUGGGAGACCGCUAUCUGCACCGUGCGCCUUGACAUCAACCUCUGCAUCCGUGUCUCCCACCGCGAAUCGUGCUUAAUGUCUGCCCUGGGCAUGGCAAGGACCCGUCAGCAUAACUUCGCAAGUCCUCACUCGCCUGGGUCAACUUACCUGCCUGCGCGGACAGCUGGAUGCUCCUAUAGGGUUGGAAAGUUGGAUGUUCCUACCAGAGUCCCGACUUCUCAGCCUGGGAGCUGUGUGCUGUGGGAUGACAACGCCACAAAGCAGCAAUUUUAAUCUCUUUUGUCCACCUCUGUAACCCCACACAUGUCAAUUAGAGCUUGGCCCUCGAGAGUCUCAAUAAAAUAUUUGUUGAAUAAAUGAAUGGAUGAUAUAAAGUGACUGGCGCUCAGUAAGUACCCCAUCAUGGGGUAGCUAUUGCUAAUUUAUUAUUGUGAUUAAAUACUCUGUCUCGGGAAUCCAACUGAAAGCAGUAUACUUAGGGAGGGAGAAAUUUAGCAUCAUGUGGAAUGCUGGCAUUCUGGCUGGGAAAUCCUGUCGACUCCAUUUACUAGUUGUGUGAUCUGGAAGAAGUGACUUCACUUUUCUAAGGCUGUUUCCUCACCUGUAAAAUGGAGAUAAUCACAGUACCUCCCAGGUAGGAUGCAAAGGUAGGAUAAGAUGGUAACGGUAAAGCAUUUAAUAGAGUUCCUGCCACAUAAUGAAUGCUCAAUAAACAAUGAUCAGCAUUCCUCAUUAUAGUAGUACUCCUCACACUAGAGGUGACAUCCAAGUCAAUUAAACCAUUGCUAAGCACUCACAUAUGUCCGGGUCCAGCAGGCUCAAUAAAUGUUUAUUGACCUCCCUCCGUGAGCUCCUCAAGGAAAGAGAUUGUGCUUACAUUGUCCUGAUUUUGGCCUGCAGUAGAUAGACUGAGACAUGCUCAAAAAAUCACAUUCUGGACUCAAAUAUGAGUAAAAACCUAGAACAGCUACUAGAAUCAUAAUGCCCGUGGCCUACUAGGCGCCAGGCACGGUGUUGGAUGCUGGAGAUAUGGCAAAGCUUAAAACAAACAUGGCGGCUACUCCUUUCAGGCUGGUGAAAUUUAGCAGAGUUGACUGACUUUGUGUCGAUCGUUGCACAGACAGACGGAACAUUGCAACUGAGAAGUGUAGCACAACAGAGAGGGGCACAAGGCUCUCGAGUAUAUAAUGUGGGCCUGGAGAAGAUGGGGUUGACCUGGGCUGGGCUUGAGGAGGGAAGAGCUGAGCGCUGCAGAAAGAAGAGGUCUUAGCUAAGCUGAGGGUAGGGGAAGUGUUCUCAGCAGAAAAAUCAGCAGAUGCGAAGGUCUCGUGAUGGGGGAAGCAUACGAGCUAAAGGAACUGAAAGAAGGCCUAGUGACCCCAGUACAGUGAGCUGAGGACAGGGCCCCGGGGAGAAAUCAACUGGGAAAGUAAGUCAGCACUUUGGAAAUUAAGUGGGCCACGUAUAUGGUAAAGCAGAAAAAGUGCGCAACCUAGGAUCCAACAGUUCCAGUUCUAGGAACAUUCUAGAAAAACAGCCACAAGGGCCCCGAGAGGCAUGAGCGAGGAUGUCAGCCCGUGCUGCAUUAUAUGCAGUCUCAAAAAAAUGGGAAACAACCCAACUGUUUGUCAACAGGAGAGUGGUAAAAAUUGCAGAAUAUGUUUUCCUCAGAUUCCUCAGGAAAGUCUGAAUGAAAAGUUA